rnacentral:rRNA from 1 species
GACGAACGCUGGCGGCGUGCCUAAUACAUGCAAGUAGAACGCUGAAGAGAGGAGCUUGCUCUUCUUGGAUGAGUUGCGAACGGGUGAGUAACGCGUAGGUAACCUGCCUGGUAGCGGGGGAUAACUAUUGGAAACGAUAGCUAAUACCGCAUAAAAUUGAUUAUUGCAUGAUAAUUAAUUGAAAGAUGCAACUGCAUCACUACCAGAUGGACCUGCGUUGUAUUAGCUAGUUGGUGAGGUAACGGCUCACCAAGGCGACGAUACAUAGCCGACCUGAGAGGGUGAUCGGCCACACUGGGACUGAGACACGGCCCAGACUCCUACGGGAGGCAGCAGUAGGGAAUCUUCGGCAAUGGGGGGAACCCUGACCGAGCAACGCCGCGUGAGUGAAGAAGGUUUUCGGAUCGUAAAGCUCUGUUGUAAGAGAAGAACGGGUGUGAGAGUGGAAAGUUCACACUGUGACGGUAUCUUACCAGAAAGGGACGGCUAACUACGUGCCAGCAGCCGCGGUAAUACGUAGGUCCCGAGCGUUGUCCGGAUUUAUUGGGCGUAAAGCGAGCGCAGGCGGUUAGAUAAGUCUGAAGUUAAAGGCUGUGGCUUAACCAUAGUAUGCUUUGGAAACUGUUUAACUUGAGUGCAGAAGGGGAGAGUGGAAUUCCAUGUGUAGCGGUGAAAUGCGUAGAUAUAUGGAGGAACACCGGUGGCGAAAGCGGCUCUCUGGUCUGUAACUGACGCUGAGGCUCGAAAGCGUGGGGAGCAAACAGGAUUAGAUACCCUGGUAGUCCACGCCGUAAACGAUGAGUGCUAGGUGUUAGGCCCUUUCCGGGGCUUAGUGCCGCAGCUAACGCAUUAAGCACUCCGCCUGGGGAGUACGACCGCAAGGUUGAAACUCAAAGGAAUUGACGGGGGCCCGCACAAGCGGUGGAGCAGGUGGUUUAAUUCGAAGCAACGCGAAGAACCUUACCAGGUCUUGACAUCCCUCUGACCGCUCUAGAGAUAGAGUUUUCCUUCGGGACAGAGGUGACAGGUGGUGCAUGGUUGUCGUCAGCUCGUGUCGUGAGAUGUUGGGUUAAGUCCCGCAACGAGCGCAACCCCUAUUGUUAGUUGCCAUCAUUCAGUUGGGCACUCUAGCGAGACUGCCGGUAAUAAACCGGAGGAAGGUGGGGAUGACGUCAAAUCAUCAUGCCCCUUAUGACCUGGGCUACACACGUGCUACAAUGGCUGGUACAACGAGUCGCAAGCCGGUGACGGCAAGCUAAUCUCUGAAAGCCAGUCUCAGUUCGGAUUGUAGGCUGCAACUCGCCUACAUGAAGUCGGAAUCGCUAGUAAUCGCGGAUCAGCACGCCGCGGUGAAUACGUUCCCGGGCCU